rnacentral:rRNA from 1 species
GAUGACCGCUGGCGGCGUGCUUAAUACAUGCAAGUCGCGCGAACAGGUGAGGAGUUUGUUUGGUUGACGAUUGGGGCGCACGGGAGUGUCACGAGUGGAUCCCCUCCCUUUAUGUCUGGUAAACUUCGGGCACGCGGGCGCAAACCCGGGAGGAUUUCUUGCUGCGUAUGGUUCAUUCGUAAGUGACGGUUUUUCUGUCUGUACUCGAGGGUUAUGCGCUGCAUUAGCUAGUUGGUAAGGUACCGGGUUACCAAGGGUACGAUGCGUGACCGAGCUGAGAGGGUGGUCGGCCACAGUGGAACUGAGACACGGUCCAGCGUCCUACGGGAGGCAGCAGUAGGGAAUCGUCGGCAAUGGGCGAAAGCCUGGCGGAGCAACGCCGCGUGGGUGAUGAAGGUCUUCGGAUCGUAAAACUCUGUUAUUAGGGAAGAACAAAUGUGGAAGUAACUAUGCACGUCGUGACGGUACCUAAUCAGAAAGCCACGGCUAACUACGGG